AUUUAUAUGAGUUCCAAAAAAAAAAACAGAAAAAGAGUAUUUAUAGAAUCAUUAUAUCGGGUAGUAUAUGUACAUAUUUGAGCACAAUUCAACAAUAUUAGCACAUUAUAAAAAAGUAAGGCUGGUAAAUUGGGAUUUGGAUGGAAAACCCUGAAGCGUCGUUGCAUCAGCUGAGAUGGAUAAAGUAGACGAGACGACGCCAAUAGGAGACAUUCAUAUUAAAAAGUGUGUUGUAGUAUCCGGCUUUGAUACAAUCCGUUCAGGUUGAGUGUCCCUGCGCCGCUUCAUGGGGAUGUCCACGCUUUCAAUGACUCCAUUGUGUGUUAUGUAGUCCAUAAAUCAUUUUAGGACGAUCGUAGUUUAAAAGCAAACAACGAGUCAAAGUGGAUUGAUGCUCUUAAUCGUUUUAUAAAUAAAAACCCAAUUAAUAGAAAAAAAAAGAGUCUUAAUUAUUUGAUGAAACCUUCAUGAUAUACUCAUAAAAUGUGAACUACUCAAGAAUCAUAAGCACGUGGGGAUAAAUAUUCAAUGGUAGCCGAAGGAAAUAAAAAGUGCCGAGGUACUUUAACUAGCACCUCUGGACCGAAGCCUGUGCCCCCAUUUUUCCCUAACAGGAGAGUGAUCUUCAAAAUCAUAAAUGUUAUUUUCAUUUUUCAUGAUUCGACGUUUUUUGAUGCCGACAUUUUCAGCUUUUGUUAAGUUGACCUCUUUAUUAUUAUUCCUCCCAUUCGAAAUUCCACUCUUAGAGCUUGCAAAGUGCUGAUCUAUAUAUUCUAAAUCAUUUUUUCUUCGAUACGCUUUCAUUUCUUCAUGUUGUAUGUUAUAUUUUAAAGGUACCUUUGUAGUAUCUGGUUUCUCAUUUUCCAUAGAGAGUCGUUUGUAAGAAAACGUAUGAAGCAGGCUAUAUUCGGCUGCCUUUUUUUCUUUCUCACCAACAGAAAAUUCUAGGGAAUUUUGAGGAACGACUUUUUGAAUCUGUUGUUUGAGAUUUGAUGAAGAGGGGGACAACAAGUCGUCAAGUUGAAAACUGUCGUCAUUGCUUGAGGGCGAAAGUAUCAAGUUUGAAAAUUCUGGUAAAGAGUCUACCCUAGUGUCUACCCUAGUGUCUAACGCCGUGGAUGGAGUCAUGUCGGUUUGCGAUAUAUCAACCUCUCUUUCAUUCACUGCAUUCAGCGGUUGAAGUUCGAGUUCAUGUAUUGAAGCUUCAGCAUCAGAAUUCGCCGUUUCCAAUAAAUUAAAGUCGUUAUAGCAAAUAGAAUCACUUGGUCUAAAACCUUGAUCGCCCCAAGUAGUAAAUAAUGUGGUGUCCGUAUUUUCGCAAUUGGCUUCACCUCCAAAGUUAAACGUUUCUUUACUCAACGCAAUAUUCUCAAAAUUGGAGUGAUUCAAAAAGAAGCUUGGUGUCCAAUUGAUAGCAAAUGAAAACAACGCCUGAAAGAUCAACUGUUCGAGAACGAAUGACUUGAUUUUAGGACGAACGACAAUGUCCUCACGAAACGUAGUUGCAUGUAAACUUGACAGAAAAUUACACCUAGUAUUUUCUCGCUUCUUGAAAGCCUUAAUUAUCGAGCGCCAGCUGGGUGCCUUUUUAGUACUCUUAAUCCUCUUUUUUACUAACUGAAAAGAGCAAUUAUUCUUUCCUGUUUGUAUUUGAGAUUCUUGACAUUUCUUAAUGAUAUUAUGAUUAGUUGAAAUCACAACGCCAAUGAAAUUAGACUGAUGCUGAUAAGAGUUAUUUGCAGGUUUAGGCCCCGAAUCUAUAAGCUUCGUUUGUAGGUGUGAAAAACAAUUGCAAGAUGGGUGUUUAGCGCUACGUCUAUGAUGGUAAGUAAUCCAGGCGCCAAACUUUUGUACAAAGUCAACACAAAUCUCAUCCAAAUCCGGAGGUACCAUCGUAUAUGCUGAGUUAUAGCCAUUAUUUUUUGAUAUUUUUA